GAUUAUGGCUCAGGAUGAACGCUGGCGGCGUGCUUAACACAUGCAAGUCGAACGGAGUUUUAACGGAAGUUUCGGAUGGAAGUUUAGAACUUAGUGGCGGACGGGUGAGUAACGCGUGGGUAACCUGCCUCAUACAGGGGGAUAACAGUUAGAAAUGACUGCUAACACCGCAUAAUAUAGCGAAACCGCAUGAUUUUGCUAUCAAAUAUUUAUAGGUAUGAGAUGGGCCCGCGUCUGAUUAGCUAGUUGGUGGGGUAAAGCCUACCAAGGCGACGAUCAGUAGCCGGCUUGAGAGAGUGACCGGCCACAUUGGGACUGAGACACGGCCCAAACUCCUACGGGAGGCAGCAGUGGGGAAUAUUGGACAAUGGGGGAAACCCUGAUCCAGCGAACCGCCGCGUGAGUGAAGAAGUAUUUCGGUAUGUAAAGCUCUAUCAGCAGGGAAGAUAAUGACAGUACCUGACUAAGAAGCCCCGGCUAACUACGUGCCAGCCGCUGC
rnacentral:rRNA from 1 species